UCCAAUAAAAAAAAUACAACUAACUAACUAACUAACUAACCAACUAACUAACUAACUAACUAAGAAGAGCAGCUUGUGCUUGUAACCACCAAGCCAACCACUAACCACUCUUCAGCCCUCUUUUCUUCUCUUUAGUGGCUGAGACUCAAUCGUAUGGAUACCCUGCACUUUACCAGUUUGUUUGCAAGCAUUGUCACCAGUCCAAAUUCAUUUCUAAAUUUAAAAACCAAACAAACAAACAAUAUUGAUUUGCUUCUGUCACAAGGCCUGGGAUGAACCAUCCCUGGUGGUUCUAGCUAUGUCCUGUGCAGUUGCGACCUUGGGGUCACUACUUGUCCAGUGUCAUGUUCAUUGUUGACUAGUUUUCUCAGACUGACCAGCUAGCUUAGAAUAAAGACAAUGUUGCAGCGUCUUCCAAGAAAUCCUCAUAUUUUUCUGUAUCUCUGCAAGGUGCUCAGUUAUUGGCAAACAUGAUAAUCUGAUUAUUAAAGUCAUUUCUGACCAGGCACUUGGCUCGAUGGUAGUAAUCCGCACAGGGAGUCUAUGCGGUGUGUGGUAGAGACGCUCUGUUCUGUUGUGUGUUCAUCUGUGUUCUUCUCAUUCUUUGCCAGUUGAGACCAUAGAUCUAGGUAGAGAUAGUGAGGCUGGCAUGCCCAGCCAAUCACCAUGCUGGUAGCUCAGCUGCAUGACCUCAAGUUGUUAGACUAUGGCUGUGUGACAAGGAUAAGAAAAUGAAUGAUGUCAGUCAUGUUUCUUCUCUCAGCCUAACGGUCUGUCUAAGUAAUUAAUUAAUUAAUAAUCAAUUCCCAGGCACACUAAAUACAACUCAAUGUCCUGACACAGCUGUAAUGGAGACAGCGAUAUCUAAUAGUGAUCUUCCAAGCUACAGUAGCUCUCAUGAUGUCACCUUUGUCCUGUCGAUUAAACACACCCAAACUGUGAGGAGCCAACAGGUCACUCUGUGACCAAGGAUAAUAAUUCCAUCACUUAGAAUAACCCAUCCUAAGUGUCACCCUGGGUCUGCCUUUCCACUUUCUGCAGUCUUGUAGCCCACAGGGUCUUCACUCAUUUGCACUGGUGGCUAUGGAAUGUGGGAUGCUUACAUAUCUCAGAUUUCCUUUAGGGUGUGAGUGGAUCUAGUUCCAAACUCCUGUGAGUGCUGGCUGCUAACAGGUAAGGUAAGGUUUCUCAGCAUUCUUACUUUGGGACAAGGGGAUCUGUCCCCUUGAAGCUCUCUGCCCUGCUGGGGAAGCUCCUGGAAGCUAACGGACUCAGAUUGUUAAACUCGUGUAUUGUUGAAACUAGUGGGAAAUAACCAAUGGCUCGUUACUUUCCAGGUGCCAUCUUGGAUAGCUUGACUGGAUGACCUAUGAUGCAUCCUAAAGGAGUGAGGCGUAAGGUCUGGGCGACCUUCCCACUAUAAGUAGGUUGAAGGCUCUACUUAUCAGGAGCCAUGACAUCAAAGUGCUGAAAAUCUCUGAAAAUGAUAGGAAAGCCAUUUUGGGAGGACCCUGGAGAUGGCACAGAGGGCACAGUCCACUUUAGGAAGGGCAAGGAUGGACAGUGUUCCAGUUUGUUUCUCUUUUGAGGUGAUAAAACACCAUGGAUGAGAGAACUCGGGGAUAAAGAGGUUUGUUUUCCUUGUGGGUACAGUUAUCACAGGGGAAGCCGUGAGGCAGGAGCUGAAGCAGAGGCCAUGGUGGGGUGUUGUCUGUUGGCUUGCUCCGCAUGGCUUGCUCAGUUCGGCUUUUUUAUACAACUCAGGACCACCCCACACAGUCACAGGGUGGGCUGGGCUAUCCUGCAUCAAUCAAUCAAGAAAACGCCCCACAGAUUUGCCUGCAGGCCAAUCUGAUGGGGGACAAUUUUCAGUUGACAUUUGCUCUUUCCCGAUGAACCUGGCUGUGUCAACCAGCCCAAAGUCAGUACUUAAAAAUAAGCUUGGAGCAAUCACUGAGGCAGGAGUAGAAUUAGCUGCAAUUGCUAACAAGACCAAACGUUAAAAGAAUCAUAAAAACCAACAAUAGCUCCUGCUGAUUGAGUGGCCGCCAAGCGCGAGGCUCCGUGCCAAGUUCCUCAUGUUAAUGUGUUGCGCAUCUCAUGAUGAAUCUGUGGGACUACCCUGAGGCUUUACUCAAAGCCAUGCUACCCCUCCCCCUCCGUUACCAGACAAACCCCACAGGAAGGAGCAGUGUGUAAGAAGACAGCCCAGGGGAGACACAACCUACAGAGUCAACUUCCUUCUCCCCAGCAAUGAGCCCAGUGCCUGGCGAGAUGAAGUCACUCACAAUUGUCUGCAGAAAGAAUGUAAAGGCUUCCUGGAAGCAGAACCCUGUAGGAGAGGGUCCACCACAAGUCUUUUUCAGGAGAUGUUAAGACCAAUGUCUGUCCCAAAGUCAUGCAGCAGUUGCCACCUGCUCAGGGACCCUGACGGUCUCAGCAGGUGCUCUUCAGCCCGUAGGAAGCGUGGUUGUCUUUCUGAAAGCUCGGAUGUAGACUGAACGGUGAAAGCUGAAUGCUGCUUGAGCUGCCAGAGACGCACGUUGAAAAGACAACGAGCCCGUCCGAACAGACUGCCGGUUUUAUAACCGCAAGGCCCAUGUUGUCCUCGUUUAUAUGUUGUUGCUGUUCUCACGUGAGUCCAAGAUUUACAGAAUGUGAUGCUCCAGUGAAAGCUGCCCACCCACCAAAAAACACUUUCAGAGAAAUCUCAACUGCAAAGCCAUCCUACAAGGCAAGACAAGGCAGACGGGAGGGAGAAUACACACAGAGAAUGAAAAACCUUCCUAUGUGGAGCUGGCUAGUUUUAUGUCAGCUUGACAAAAGCUAAAGUAACUGGAGAGGAGGGAGGGAGCCUCAAAUGAGAAAAUGCCUAGGUCAGAUUGCUGUAGGCAAUCCUGGAGGGUGUUUUCUUAGCCAGUGAUUGACAUGAGAGGGCCCAGCCCAUUGUGGGUGGGACUGGGUUGUAUAAGGAAGCAGGCUGAGAAAGCCAUGGUGAACAAACCUAUAAGCAGCACCCCUCCAUGGCUUCUGCAUCAGCUCCUGCCUCCAGGUUCUUACUCUGUUUCACUUCCUGCCCUGACGUCUUUGAUGAUGUAAACAGUGUCGUGGAAGUCUAAGUUGAAUGAACCCCUUCCUCUCCAACUUGAUAUUGGUCAUGGUGUCUCAUUGAAGCAACAGCGACCCUAAGACACAUGCUAAGCCUCCAACUGCUACUUAGGAUACAGAGGCAUCUCUUUCUCUCAAGAAUUCUAAGAUAGAGAAUAAAACAGCUGCUUUCCCCUGGAGAGAGAGAGAGAAAGAGAGAGAGAAAGAGAGAGAUAGACAGAGACAGAGAGACAGACAGACAGAGAG